AUUGAACGCUGGCGGCAUGCCUUACACAUGCAAGUCGAACGGCAGCACGGGAGCAAUCCUGGUGGCGAGUGGCGAACGGGUGAGUAAAGUAUCGGAACGUGCCCAGUCGUGGGGGAUAACGUAGCGAAAGUUACGCUAAUACCGCAUACGAUCUAUGGAUGAAAGCGGGGGAUCGCAAGACCUCGCGCGGUUGGAGCGGCCGAUAUCAGAUUAGGUGGUUGGGGGGGUAAAGGCUCACCAAGCCGACGAUCUGUAGCUGGUCUGAGAGGACGACCAGCCACACUGGGACUGAGACACGGCCCAGACUCCUACGGGAGGCAGCAGUGGGGAAUUUUGGACAAUGGGCGAAAGCCUGAUCCAGCCAUGCCGCGUGCAGGAUGAAGGCCUUCGGGUUGUAAACUGCUUUUGUACGGAACGAAAAGGUUUGGCCUAAUAAGCUGAGCUCAUGACGGUACCGUAAGAAUAAGCACAGGCUAACUACGUGCCAGCAGCCGCGGUAA
rnacentral:rRNA from 1 species